rfam:Myotis brandtii contig218789, whole genome shotgun sequence.
UGGGUGGAAAAGUUCACUUAGGUUCAGAAUCAGAUCUUUUGUGAGCACUCGGUCCAUUAGCUACAAAAUUGCCUUCAUCUUGGAUGCGGGUGCUGCUGG